UACAGGGGGGGCAAGCGUUGUUCGGAAUUACUGGGCGUAAAGGGCUCGUAGGUGGCCGACUAAGUCAGACGUGAAAUCCCUCAGCUUAACUGGGGAACUGCGUCUGAUACUGGAUGGCUUGAGUUUGGGAGAGGGAUGCGGAAUUCCAGGUGUAGCGGUGAAAUGCGUAGAUAUCUGGAGGAACACCGGUGGCGAAGGCGGCAUCCUGGACCAACACUGACACUGAGGAGCGAAAGCCAGGGGAGCAAACGGG
rnacentral:rRNA from 1 species